GGAGAGAAUGAUACGAAAAAGAAAAAGAAAGAAAGAGAGGAUCAGUCGCACAUAAAAUGAGCACACUGACAACACCAACCUUGUUUAUCUGUUUUCCCUUUGUCCUCUUCCUGUUGAUGUGUG
rnacentral:ribozyme from 1 species